UAAAAAUGAUGUUUAAGAAUAUAGAAAACUAUCAUCUAUACCUAAUUUGGAAUUAUUAAAUGAUACUUGAAUUCAGGAACAUGGUUUCAAAUGAACAAAAAACUUUCAUACUAAUCCCAGUAAUUAUUCUUCAAAUAUUCAUCAAUACAUGGAAUACUGUUCCAAAUUUUGCAAUGGAGGAAAAAAAACUUGGAGUUAUUUAAGAAACAGUAAGAUAUUAAAAAGAGUGGAGAUUUUAUGAUCUGGAUUAAUGAACUGAGAUGGCCUUCCUCAUCUGAGAUGAUCUUGUGAAAGGGAUGAAUCUUUAACUUGAUAACUAAAGUAGACUUCAGAGUAUUGCAUUCAAGAUGUGGAGGACAAGUAUUAUUUGGGUCUGGGAGAAAGAUAACCACUCGGAAAAGGAUCCUUUUAAAAUUAUCUUGCUGAAAUAACUCAGUUAAAUUAACGAAGGGGUUGGGCAAACAAAGAAGGGAGCCCAUCUUUCCUCUAUUUGGCACCAUAACAAAUUAAAGAACCUUGCUUGGGUCUGGUUUAAACAGUGAGUAAAAAUGAUAUUAGAACUUCAUGGAAGUACAUUCUAAUUAAAUAUGGGUCUCUUUGAAUCUGUGUAUGGAAGAAUAUUUUCCACUUUACACCAAUAUUAAAUUUGCUAUGUAAAUCUAAAGUCAAGACCUAAUUCUAGACUGGAACAAAGCAGAUUGAGAUUCCUGAAGGUGAUACUGGAAGGAAUCAAAUCUCUUUGCAAUGCCAGAUCUUUGUUUCACAAGAUAUUAACUUAAAUAUUUAGGUUCUCCUGAUCCGUUCUCUAGUUAUUUAUAUAUUUAAUCUGUUCAAAGAGAACUCAAUCCAGAUGUGUAUCCACUCAUUUUCAGAAAUUAAUCUAGGUGGUAUAAUUAGAAUUUCAACUAGAAAGGAACCACAGUAUUGAAAUCAAGAGUUUACGUGGCUGCAUUUUGAAGUAUAGUUGAUAAUCUCAAAUCUAUUGCAUCCUAAAAUUUUGGGAUGAAGAUCUUUGUUCCUUCCAUAGAAAAAUGCUGCAUACAAAUUGGAAGGGAAAAUGGAUGGCCAGUUUGGGCAAAAUGAAAAGAUGUCCCAGGAGUCUUACUAGAUUUGGAACUAAACAUGGUCAACCCGAACAUCAGUCAAAAAAAAUCAGUUGUAUGCUAAUUGCAAAAAUUGUAGAAUAUAAAUCAGAUUAACAAAUGUUCAAUGUUAUAAUAACUGUGUAGCAUCAUAGAAUCAGAAAAUGUUACUGCACUGAAGGAGGCAUUUCCAGUCCCAAUGCUGAAUAUGCAAUUUGAGUAUUCACGAACAUUUGAUUGCCAAGACAGAAAAGAGAUUUUCCAGCUCUGAAGACAGUCAGGAGGACAACUGGACUAGUAUCAUGGUCAGAGAGAUGUUGAAUGAUGGCAGCAAUUGGAUUUUUCAAACUGGAAAAGAGGAAUAAUAUUAAUUUUCUCCAUUAUGAACUGGAAUAGAUUCAAGUGUGGAAGGAAUACAUCUUAGCAACAUAAUGGACCUGGUUUAUUUCCAUGGAGACUUUUAUUUGGUAAAUUUUGUGGAUAAAGAAGAACUAUUAUGUUAUUCCUGACCAAUAUGUUUUACUGUUCACUGCUGUUGCCAUCUCAAGAUCUUUUUUAUUUUAAGAAAAGACACGCAAAAUGGAAUGUAUAUGUUACACUUUGAAUAAAUUGAUAAAUGGGAACCUUA